UACGUAGGUGGCAAGCGUUGUCCGGAUUUACUGGGCGUAAAGAGCGCGCAGGCGGUCGUCCAAGUCGCGUGUGAAAGCCCCCGGCUCAACUGGGGAGGGUCACGCGAUACUGGUCGACUCGAAGGCAGGAGAGGGUAGUGGAAUUCCCGGUGUAGUGGUGAAAUGCGUAGAUAUCGGGAGGAAUACCAGUGGCGAAGGCGGCUUCCUGGCCUGUUCUUGACGCUGAGGCGCGAAAGCUAGGGUAGCAAACGGG
rnacentral:rRNA from 1 species